rnacentral:rRNA from 1 species
ACGGGACCCGCACAAGCAGCGGAGCGUGUGGUUUAAUUCGAUGCUACACGAAGAACCUUUACCUGGGUUUGACAUAAUGGUGGUAGGGAUCCGAAAGGUGACCGACCCUUCGGGGAGCCAUUACAGGUGUUGCAUGGCUGUCGUCAGCUCGUGUCGUGAGAUGUUCGGUUAAGUCCGCUUACGAGCGCAACCCUCGCUGUGUGUUAUAUGUGUCACACAGGACUGCUGGUAUUAAGCCGGAGGAAGGUGAGGAUGAUGUCAAGUCAGCAUGACCUUUAUAUCCAGGGCUACACACACGCUACAAUGGUCUGUACAAUGGGUAGCCAAGCCGCGAGGCGGAGCCAAUCCUGAAAGCAGGCCUCAGUUCAGAUUGCAGUCUGCAACUCGACUGCAUGAAGCCGGAGUUGCUAGUAACCGCAGGUCAGCAAUACUGCGGUGAAUACGUUCCCGGGUCUU